CUAGCAUGGAAAGUGGACGUUAAACAAUGAUGAUGAUGAUGAUAUAUAUAUAUUUUGGAGAUGUACUUGCAUAGCAAGUGACCUAAUCUGAGAUCGUGUGCUGAAACAAAAGCAAUUGCAGCAUGGAAGGUGUUUAUAAGCCAUUUAAAAACACAAAAAUCGUUAGAUUCACUUCAAGUAUGGAAUUUUAUCAGUGAACAGGUCAUGGUCUCAAAGCAACAAAAAUAUUUUGGCAAAUUAAAUAUAAAUGUCGAAGUAAAUCUAACAGUUUUUGUUUUUUAAAUGGCUUAUAAACACCUUCCACACUGCGACAUACAUAUAUAUAUAUAUUGUAUGUAUGUACAUACACAGAUCUAAUUAUAUAUUAUCGGAUGGAUAACAUUUGUAAUAUAAAUUAUAUAAGACAUAUAUUUAUUGUCAUCAUUAUCAUCAUACUUGUGUCUUUCUGUGGUGGCAUGUGUUGGACAGAUCUGCUCCAACUGGGCAUCUUGUCACAUGUUGCAGUCACUUAUCAUCCCCCUGGUCAGUUUUAGCAUUCUAAGAUCAUCUUUCAUUACCCCUUCCCAUGUCAUCCUCAAUCUUUGUCUUCUACGGACAUCUACUUGAAUUAUUUUGGCCCCUUUUCACCCAACUGUCAUGUUUCACAUGUAUAUACCUGUGCAGCCUUCUCUCUUGCACAACACAACUGAUUCCUCUAAAUAUAGAAAUAUAUUUGUCUCUUUCAGGUGUCUUAGAGUUUGUUGAACUUUUUUCUGAAGAAUAACUGCAAGGAAACAGAAAGAAAGAAAUUAACCAAAAUGUUUGAAGACUGGGAUUGGAAUGAGAUGGUAGGGAGAUUGAUCAGGUGGGCUGCAACAAGCCCAUGGGAAUUCAUCUACUACGUGCUCUUGUGUUUGUCUCCGUUUUUCUUUGUCAGUGCCAUCUUGGCAUGGCAGCUUGCCAAACAAAUAGAACACAAGGAAAAGAGAAAGAAGAAGACAAAUAAAAAAGAGUCUAAUGUUGCAAAGACUCGACGACAAAAAGCUGACUGAACCUCCCAAAGCACCACCCACACUCCCACACGCCUACAAAUAUAAGUUUUUGUAAAUUACAUAUAUAUAUAUAUAUGUUUAUACACAUACAUUAAAUGCUUAAUAAUUAUUUAAAUAUAUAUAUGAUAUAUGUGUGUAUAUACAGAUACAUAUGUAAGUUAUAAUGUUUAAUAUUAUACAUGCAUGUAUAUAUAUAUAUAUAUGAAUAAAAGUUUUGUGAAAUAGGGAGGUAUCUUUUAUUUAUAAACAGAUUUGGAAAGUUUGGAUUUUCCUAAGGAAAGGAGAUAGAAUAUUGCUCAACUCCUUUUAUUUUGUUCUUUAUGUUGUUGUCUAGUGUCGGAAAAUUCAGACUUUUUAUAUGUGUAUAUAAAUAAAUGAAGAAGAGAUAUCUCCAUUACAUCUAAUUUUUCUAUCAAUUUUUUGAAACAUUGUAGUGCACCUGAGCACUAUAUACAAUAAGAUCAUGAUAUACAAAUACACACAUGCAAGCAAGCACACACACACACACAUAAUAGAUGGAUUAUCCUUCUGUUACAUUACAGCUAAAAGAUUCACCAUUUGCAGAUCAUCUGAUAAUGAACCAAAUCCAUUUUUUCUAUGUUCAAUGCUCAAAUGUGUAUGUUUGUGUUUAUAUAUAUAUAUACAUAUAUAUAUAUAUAUAUAUCUUGUGCUUGGUACAUGUCAAGGCUCUGUCCAGGAGUUACAAAUCUCAAAUCAAGAAUGCUGAUCUAUCAGGAGACAAUUGGAAUAAUGGUGAGACUGGGCAUCAGUAUGGUCGAGCCUUUGCAGAAGCUUAAAAACCAAUAAUUUGUCUCAGUCUAUUCAGAAACUCAACAGCAAUAGCACAAAAUACACAGCAAACAAACAACUAGAAAUCAAGAAAUUUUUUGUUGUAUGUGUCCUCGUUACCAUUUUCAGCACCGUGCAUGCAUGUGUCUAAAUAUGUAUGUGCAAUAUGUAUAUAUGUAAUGUAUGUAUGCAUAAUAUUUAUGUUUACAUGUCAUAUAUAUUAUUGAUGCAUGCUAAUAUAUUGGUUUUAACAAAUGGGAAAAGAAAAAUUCUCAGUACUUGAGUAGAAUGUAACAGUAUAUUACUUAGGAUGAUCCAAUGGCCUGUUUCUCUAGAAUUACCUUAACUGUAGCCAGUUCCUCUGAUAGUUGUAGAAUGAUUCAGUCUUUUAUCUGUUGAAGAAACUGGCUACAUAUUGGAUAUACUCCAGGGCAAUGAGUAACUGGAUCAGUGUAAAUAAGCUAUAUAUAUAUAUAUAUAUAUAUAUAUAUAUAUAUAUAGUGUGUGGUUAAGUUAAAUUUAAGCCUUCUCUAUAUGUACAAACUUAUGUAAAGAACUACUGAAAUCUUGUUUAUGUCUCAAUUAUAUCUGAAACAAAUUUCAUGGAUGCAUCUCUUUUAUAUGAUAUAUUAAAUGUUUUUUUUUUAUUGUGAGAGUGAUGGGGGAGGGGGCCUUUGUUAACUCCCCCACCUUAGCUUACCUUUCCUCAUAUUGAAAGUCAACUUCUGCAAAGCUGUCCAAUGAGUUUUGAAGAUACGGCGUUUCUUUCCUUGAUCUUUUGGAUUUUAUUUUUAAUACUGACCUACUGGCCAAGCAAACUAGAUUAAUUUAUUGAUUGGUUAAAACUGUUUCACCUGUGACUUAUGUUUUUUUCAUCAUCAUCCCCAUCAUUUUAACUUAAGGUUGGUGAAGUAUGCACCAGUCAAGUACUGGGUUAUUUAAUUUGCCACCUUGUGCCUACAUUAGAAAAAAUUAUUGUUGUUAUUAUUAUUAUUAUUACUACUAAGGUGGCGAGGUGGCAGAGUUGUUAGCAUGCUGGGUGAAAUGCUUAUCAGUAUUUCGUCUCCUGCAACAUUCUGAGUUCAAAUUCUGCCAAGGUCGACUUUGCCUUUCAUCCUUUCAGGGUUGAUAAAGUAAGGACCAGUGGAGUAUUGGGAUCAAUGUAAUCUAUUAGUCUCCUCCCCCAAAAUUUCAGGCCUCAUGCCUUUAGUAGAAACAAUUAUUAUUAUUAUUAUUAUUAUUAAGGUGGUAAGCUGGUAGAAUCAUUUGUGUAUUGGAUAAAAUGUUAAGUGGCAUUUCUUCCAGUUUUUAUGUUCAGGGUUCAUCCUUUCAGGGUUAAUAAAAUAAGUACCUGUUG
rnacentral:lncRNA from 1 species